rnacentral:lncRNA from 1 species
CAAUUUGAACCUCACUAGAUCAAGAACGCUUUGACUCAGAUCUCUUCAGAAAUUAUAUCUUUCCUGAGCUUGAUUAUUCAAAAAAUGGGUUAUUUUCCAGAGGCCUUAUAGCUCAUGAGCUUCUGAGAGAACAGAGCAUGCAGAUGGCUCGUGUUAACUCCAAAAGUGGUCGAGUAUCACCUCCUUCAAAUCCAAACAGAAUGCGGUUUGACAGCAACUAAAAAAGGCGCUGGGCAUUGUCCUUGACUGCAGAUUUUGCAUUUGAAAUCAUAAUGGAACCUUUGCCUUGGCCUUCUGCUUCAAACCUGUGCCUAAUCCAACAGGGGUCUGAUCCUGUGGACCUGGUUUGGAUUCAUCAAUAGAGCCACCCCCAGCUUCACUUGGAGGAUGAUCAUUAACUUCUUUCUUCACCCCGUUUUCCUCACUGAUUGCUGCUUCAGGGGUCACCCCAGAAUUGAUAAUAUUAAGAAGCUGCGUAAGCGGGGGUAAAGCCUGGACAGGAACACCAUGUGGCCGUAUUAAAAGGCCCCUUGCUGCAGCCUUCUUUCUAACUUCUGCAGCAGCUCGGGCAGCCCUUUCAUCAACUCCCCUCGCUCGAGGAAGGGCCUCGCCCAUUAUGGCUGCAUUCAGCGAUUUACUUGUAGCAGCACUAGAACUCCCAGAUCCUCCCCCAACAGCAGCAGCUUGGAAUGCAUGUAUUAGAUCAGGAUGGGCCUGCAAUGAGUCAUCUUCAGCUUCAGGAUGAAACCAUCAAACCAGGAAAGGAAUAACCCAUACAAGUCCAUCCAAUUAUACACUUUAAAGCCUGAAACUGAAACUGUCAACAAUACCCCGAGAAAUAUGCCUGUGUCCCAUUGGGAUGCCCAGGGCUUGGCAGUUUUUCCAUCCCCGGAGAUAACUUAUUACUCAUGAUUCCAUGGUCAAAGUUGGCUAAUAAAUACAGAUGUUAUGUAUCACUAUUGUUUCAGAAAAAUGCUUACAAACACAACAUGAUGCCACUUUAUUUAUCUACUUUUUCUUAUUUAAGGAGUUUCUCCAAAUUAACAAAUAAAAGGACUCCUACUUCUUUGACAAGAUCUCAAAGAAUUCCAGGUGAUGAAAACUCAAUUUUCGCUUUUUGUACCAGUCUACCAGAAAUAUGUCUACCCCAAGACACCUAGCAUUCUACAUUUCCGAAUUCUUUCCAUGAUUUAGAUAACCUAGAGUAUGACAAGUUCCAUGACAAGUUCCAAAUUCUUACUCCCGAGAGCUUCAUGUACUCUAUCCUUCUUGUUCCUUAAAACUUCUCAAACCAAAAAAUUCAGAAGAGGAGAAAGGCUGAAUGAGGGGAAUGUUUUUAAUUAAAAGGGUACCUUCAAAAUAUCUAUAGCUUUCUGGGCAGAAGCUGAAUUCAAAGCUUGACCUUUCUGCUUUUGAGCAUUCAUCUGAUAAGAAUAGGAUUAAAAUUAAUUGGCCACAAUGUAGAAGAACAAAGGAUGACCACAUUGAAAACUUACAAUUUACGUGAAAGUACCUGCAACUCGCGCAUCUUAAAUGUUUUCAUCCAGUUUUGAGAAUCCCUAGUCCUGGAAUCUUCUUCUCCAAGUUGCUUGACAAGUAUAUCGUAUGUCUUCUUUUCAUGCUGCCAUACCAGGAAGUAAUAUUUGAUCAAUUCAUACAUACAAACUGCACAAUCAGUAGUGAAGCAUAGUUAACAAUGCUAAGCACAUGCCUGGUGAGAGAGCUUGAAAGCACCCAUACAGUUGAAUGCAAUUGCCAAAGCAUGGUAGCACACAGCAGUUUGAAUGUGUUCUUCUCCUAAAAGCCUUUCAUUCUUCUUCAAGGCUUCUUGCAAAUAACGAAGAGCUGUGUUCAUCUUUCCAAUGUCUUGAUACAUCAUUGCAACAUUUAUAAAAGUUGCAGCAACAUCAGGGUGAUCUGGGCCAGAAGACAAACUUAGCAGAAGUAGAGCCCGAGACAUGUGUCGCAGUGCAAGUUCAGUUUGGUUAAGACCAUGGUAGAAAAGGGCCAUAUUUCCAUAACUGCAGAAAGUUAACAUGAGAACAAGAUGAUUAAAAAAGAUCUUAAUUCAAAUGCAAAAGAGCAGAAUGUGUGGACUAUGUAUCAUAUAAACAGAAGAUGAUAGAGAAGUCCUGGAAAUGUUAUUCGCACUUCAUUUUUUGUUAUUUGCACACCCACCAUUUGUUUUAUCAUAUGGUCUAAUAAAUGAAAACUAUAUGAUUAAAUGACAGUAGAAGUGUGAUUAACAAACAUGGGAAUGCAAAUAACAUUUCCCAAGAAACAUGGGUAAGAUUUUUUGGCAUGUUAACUGUUACUCUUCAAGAAAAAAGUAAUUCUGUCAUCUAAUAAUUAGAUCAAAAAAUAAGCUGUGUCUAAGUUUAUUUUUUUUUUUGUUAACUUAUUCACUCUUAGCUAGAAGAUGUAUCUUCUAACAAUGUUGUAUUCCUGCACUUGUCCAAGGAACUAAUCAUGGAUGGGCACUUGUUCCACAAACUUCUUAAUAUAUCUCAAAGCAAAAGGGAAAAAUGCAGUAACCAGAUAAAUUGGAUUGUCUAAGCAGGGCAACAUCAAGGUAAAACCAAUUGGACUACUAGUGAGCUACUUGAGCUAGCUUGGCCAACAGAUCUACUCGGCUCUAUCUAUUUCCUGAGGCUUACCUACUUCACAUAGUUGUUUGACCCAAUAGCAAGACCAAGCACUUUGCACAACUAAAUCCCAUAAUAUUCGAUUACUAUAUGUUGUCUGGCAUCCAAAAAUCUACUUUAACUUAGUCGUCGAAAUCGGGCUACAGGCCAGAAGAUAUUUGUGCUUGCUUCACUUGGCAUUACAGUUUAAUGAGCAAGGCAACAUAGUAAAGCUCAGAAGACAGAUUAGAACCUGUGUGCAGUGUCAGGGUGGUCCAGUCCAAGGCAGCGUUCAUUUAUUAUAAGUUCCUUGUGUUGUUGCAUUAUUGCUCCAGCCAUGUCGCCAGCAUGGUACAAAACCAUGGCAAGGUAGCUAUAAGUUACAAGAGAAAAACAGCAUAAAUUAAUUAUCAGAACAUUGUAGAAUAAUAAGGAUCACCAUUAAAACAAUUUGAAACAAGGAGAAAAUUACUUCUGAACAAUGUUAACAGUCAAAACACCUAUUAAAGUGCUAGGAAAGCUAUAUGAAACAAGAAAAUAGAUGUUUACACAAGCUAAAGUGGAGAAAUACAGUGUGUUUGGAUUGCACAUUAUUUACACCUUAUUUGCACACACUGACUUGCUUGCAUCAUCAACACAUUUUUCAACCACCUUUUUAUCUCACAUAUAUCACAUCAAAAAGUGCUACAGUAUUUUUUCAAAAAAUUAUCCCAAAUAAUCUCAUAAUCACUGAGGGAGAUAACAAACUGAACCACCACCAGUUCCAUAGAAGAAUAUAUUUCCAAAACAAUAAAAGAGGUGAUCAAAUAAGUAGUCCUUACCGACAGCAAUUAGCGACCUCCCUGUGCAUUGGACCAGUGACCUACAUUUUGUCAGAACAUGGCUAUGAGAUGCUUGCUCAUUAAGUCAUAAAAACAAAUGGAACACCAGAAUUCAAUAUAAUACCUGUUGAAGUAUAGUGAAGGCCUCCGAAAAUAAUGUAUAUGCCUCGCUGAGCAUCCCCUGCAAUCAGGUAGAAUGGUCAAACCAAUUUUGAAGCUAGUAAAAGUACGAAACAGCCACUCAAAUUUCAAAAUAAUAGAGCUAUCUGAAGAAUAUGUAGAUCAAUGUUCAUACUUUAAGGCCCUCAAGCAUGUUUAGUAAUUGCUUAGAUUAUAUAUCAACAUACUUUCUUUGCACAACUCAAGAUUAAUUGAGAAAUUAACUCUACAGACCUCCAGGUCAUGAUGGGACCUGAUUUCCAACACUUAACACAUGGCCAAAGUUUGUCAAUCACCAUAGUAGGAUGACAAUGAUUACAAUCUUUCUUCUCUCUUUCUGCGACAUUAUAAAAUUAAACUCCCAGCAUAAAAAAUGCUAGGACAAGAAUGAUUGUAAUCUUGUUUUCUGCAAUCUUGGCACGUUCAACUCCCAACAUCAACUCUUAUCAUGUGCAGACAGUGAAACAGAAUGGCAAGACCUUGGAUUUUCAUGAUAAAUAGAAAGCAAAAAUCAUCCGUACCUCAGCUAAUUGAACCUUCCCUGUUUCCACAAGAUCCUUGGCUUCCGAACUAACAGGAAUAGCAUGCUUUACUACAGGUUGGAGAUUCAAAAUAUCUGAUGCUUGAAAAGGCGCAACUCCAUCGAGAUCAUAUCUCCGAGUUGCAACUGUUACACCCACCUAUUAAGACCCCCAGCUCUAUGUGUUAAGUGUAACCACCAAAUAGUAACAAUAACCAGGACACCAACAGCUAUUUUCCAGAAGGAAAGAAUGCACAAAGUGAAAGAUUACCAUGUAAUACCAGAUUCAACAGAAAGCAAAUAAAUAAGACCAAUUAGAUUAUAAUAAGAUAUCUCCUACUUUAAAACAAGAUAGUUACAUAUAUGUAAAACCACAAAAAGAACCGCACAUGGCAUUCCUGUGCCAAAACCUCAUUUUUCAUGAAUUCCACACUGUGAGCUAUCUCAACAUACCAUGAUUAACUAUGAAUCAUAUAGUCUGAGUACCUCAUGGCACGUUUGCAUCAUUUGUAUGUAAUUUUUGCUCCUCUCCUACUUAUGUCUAUUCUAUAAUUCUCUUUUCUACACUUUCAACAAGUCUAUUAUAGCCACGAUGUGGUGGUUGUUGAGCAAAAUAUUAGUUUCCCCUUUACAAAGUUAAAAGACGAGUCCAAAAAAAUCGAUAACCAAAAUUAUGGAAAUUUCCAGAGAAAAAGUUGUCUAGGAGUGAUUACAUCCAGGAUUCAUAAGAGAAAGUGCGCAUCGGAAAAGUAAAAUAUUGACGCCAUUCAAAAUUGGCAACAGGAAGAAAUCUCACAUCAAAGCAAUAACCAAGAACAUGUCAAUCGCAAACAAUCAUGUGAAUGCAAUUUUCCACCAGAAGUACUCAUGAUUGUAAAACAAUUCCUUAAAGUACUGGAUAGCAGCAAAGUUUUUUAGAACAAUAAUUUUUAUUUUUUUUCUUUUGGUUCUUUCUUGCACAAAAGGUACAGUAACUUAAUACCCAAGAUUUCUAAUGUUCAUGAUAAGAAGACGCAACACAAAGUUUGAAUAAUAUUUGUAAAACAUUCAUUUUGAUGGUCUAAAACCAAAGCUACCUUAUGGCAAAGGUUGCGGAUCACUGGAAUUUUCCUUGCACGCAAUCUUGCAUCCUCUGGCAAUUCAAACUGCACCAUAGAAAAAGAGACAGGUAAAGCUACUAGGAAACUAAUAGAAUGAGAAAAUCUUGGGCAAGCUACCAGGACAAAAUUUUCUCAAGCUCAUGUUACCUGGUAUUUUAGUUUAGCAAAUUCUUGAAUGUCAAACCAGAGACAAUCAGAAUUAAAAUUCAAAAAUGAGGACUGCUUCUUCCUAGCUGAUCCUCUAUUUUUUGACUUAGCCUGACUCUUGAAGGAUUUUGAUGAAGCUUGAUGGCCCACAUGGUCCUGUAAUAUUUACAUUCUCAACUCAGGAAAUUUCUAAACUACAAUAUCAAAGCAAGUGUACAUAUGAAAAACUGCAAGCAAAUACCUGGUUCCAUUCAGGGUUCAGUUUCUUUUCAAAAUGUUUUGUUCUUCCUUUGUAGUUGCCGAGCUUUACUUCUACGUAAGGAUCACAGGUGGCUGUAAUCGAGUUUGGUGGAAGAUCUUUGGCCUUGACAACUCGAACAUACAGAUAAAACAUCUGCUCAACCAGAUCAUACGUGCUGGUGUAUCUCUCACUGCUGAUCCACCCUCUUCCACCAUAUGCACCCCCACUUGGCCAUUGAUCACCAAGCUGGGGGCUGGUGUCCUUCACUUCGUAGUCGUCAUCUGGGCUGGGAUGUGCUUGUGGAUUAGCUUGAUGAUGCAUUGUUAGCUGGAUGCGUCCUGGUUUGCUUCCCACCACUAAGCCUGGUGUAGAGAACACUUGGUGCCUGUGUAUUUCUUUGAUUGUCUUUAUGACUUCAACAGGCUCUUGGAUGACUUCCUCAAGUUCUUUGGUGCGAUCAGUGUGGUAAGAUUCUGUACCUUCUGUGUUACUGGUAGCUUCAGUUGAAAUGACAGCAGUGUUCUCAGUUCCAGAUGAUUCUGUUUCUGCUACAGGAGUCCUGAGACUAGGAAUUUGAGGAUUGGAAAUAGAAUCUGGUUUAUCACUUAUUAGGCUGGGGGUCUCUGAAACAGGAACGUCAGGAGGACUAGAAGGUGCUGGUGGAGUUUGUGGAGGAGAUAUUGGAAAAUAGGACUUUGGCUCAGAUUCUGAUGAGAUAUAAAUUUUCAGGCCUAUCUCACCUUUGACAAAUGAGAACAACCACUUGCUGUCCAAUUGGAAUCUCUGAUAAACUUCGUCCCCUUUCUUGACAAUAUAAGAGCAAGGGAUUCUCACUCUUCCAAGAAAGUUUCUUCCAGGGUUUGGUUUUCUUUGAUGGUGAACAGAGACUUCAAUAGUCUGAUGAAGAUAGUUUCUAGCUUCUUCAAGAUUGAAAAGAAGUUUUUGAUUCCAAAUGGGGUUGAGAUUUUUUGGUACCGUUGUGGUUCGACUAAGCUGAUUGCCAAAAUCAACUUCUACAUAUGGACUAGCUGAUCCUUCGCCGUCUUUUGGCAUAAGAUCACAAGCAUCCACAACUUCAACUACUAGUUUCAUACUCCUUUUCUGCUUGCUUUGAUUCUGAAUGAAGCUACCAGGAAUUAGCUCCUCGCAAGAUAUCUCAAACUCUAUUUAGAAGCAAAGAAGUUCUCCCUAGAAAAGGCACUAAGCAGAAGAAAGAAACUGUUUUGACUCGUAUCUCUCUCUGUCUCUCUCCAUGCACACACGUGUAGUCAAACACACAACAGAAGGGAAUCAUAUCAUCUAGAUGGUGAUAUGCUGAAAGAAAAGAAUAAUUUGAUGAAGAAGCUGUGUUUGAGCUCUGUGGAUUUCAAUUUUGAGACAAAGAGAUGGAGGCAAGGUAUAAACAUUGUGCAAAAAGUGAUAAAGUGAGUGAUGAGUUCAUGUGGGAUAUCAAAAAAGGGUUGAAACAAAUAUAGCCUUUAUGCUUUGCUUAGUGCUGGAGACACUGAUUACAAAAGCUUGUUUAAGCAAAAGUUUCAGCUUCUAGUUCUUUUUGCACAUUUCUGUCUUGUCCUUUUUAUCUUAUGCAACAAAAGCUAGCAAAACAAGUAGAGAAAAUUUUGCAAGAUGUGCCACAACCCCAGAAGCAUCAACUUCACCCAUAAACUUGUCCUUGAGGCCUAAUCAUGUUACAUACAACCUACAUUGUUAAUUAAAAUUUUGAAUGCACAAGCUAAUGAACCCGGAUGUAUAUUUAUUUUCUUAAAUUAGGUAUAAUAUAGAGUUUUAAUUUAGACACUAGAAUGCUCAUAAAUUAUGGCGCUUGUUAGUAUCUGUUUUCAUGUAUUACAAAGCAACAAUUCAUUUUCAAAUAAGGGGAAGAAAAAAUGAAAAUUUAACUGAGCCAAAUAAAAGUGUAGAUAGUUAAUAAAAGUGAUAUGUGAUAGAUAAUAAAAGUGUAGAUAGUUACAAAGAUGGCACAAAUAUUUGGUGUGGUGUGGAAAUCAUCCUCUAACAAUUCCACAAGCAAGCAAAAAACAACUGGAUCCAAUUAUUAUUGGAGGGUGGUCACUGCAUACCUGUUAAGUUCAUUUCAAAAUUAGUCUGACUAAAUUCAGAACUGCUCGAACCAGGCAGGUUGGGCUGAUCUUUAGCUUUUCCUAUUUCCUUUUUCUUUCUUCUUUUAUAUAUAUGGGCCUGUUUAUAUUUCUAAUCUCAUUUUGGGAUCAUUCACUCUUAAUUUGGACAGUAUACACUCAAAAAACAAUUUUCUACAACCUUUGUCUGGAGUAAUGCAACGUUCACUGUUUCUUUGUUCUUUCUAAUCGCGCACAGUUUAUACAAAAAAUCAGUUCAUCAGGUCGAUCAAACCGGCAAACAGAAAAUCCAUGAGCUCCCUGGUUAGCUAACAGGGAUGGUUUCAGAACAUUGGUGGGAAUUGCCAAAUUGGAUUUCUCAGGAGCCAUUUUGCCCAUGGAAUGUCAACUGGGCAGCAAAACUAGAACCCAGAUUUUUUUUUUUGUUAAGAAUUUUGUUUGCCAGCAUAAAAAAAGAUGCCUUCAUUCACCAGCCACCCCUUUUCUGUUCGUUGUUAGCAAGCUGAGUUUCUUUCAAGACCUAUUCUGAUAUUGCUUGCUUGCUCAAAAAAAAGGGGGUACAUAGCUGCUUUCUAGAGGUUGCUUGGUCGAUCCAUAAUUGAAUCUCAGCUGAUUCCAAAAGCAGCAUAAAGCAUGAAAAAGGUAGACAUUGCAACUCAGUUUGCUCUGCAUCCAAGGAUACUAAAAUUCGUUGUACCUUUUGAUCUAAGAAGAAGAUUUAGUGUCAAAACUAAAGACAUUAUAGGACUGCAUGCAGCAUACUAUAUGAUACAUAAUUCAAGAAUCAUUACUUUUUAAUUUCGUUGGAAUUUCAUUCAAUUUGAUGGCAAGUUUAAGCCGAAAAAUGUUUCUUACCAUAGAAUUUCUUUGGUAUGCUAGAUGCCAAAUUAAGGCAGCUGGUGCAUCCAAAUGCAUAUUUUAACAGAAGCCCUUGCUUUGCCAUGCGAGAUCAUCUAAAAAGAUCAGGAUGCUUGUCAUCGAUCAUUCAGCCUCACCAAAGCUAAUAGUAGCUGAAAGCAUUACAUCAAUGUUGGAACCAUUUUAAGGAGUUAAAAGUCACCCAAUCUUCAUAACGAGAUCAGUGUGAUGCAUGUUUAGCUCAAAGUUUAUGAGCCUCUUAGCAAUCGAAAGCUUGUGUGCCAGCUCAUUUCAUCUAGCCACACUAACAGUACUUAGCGUGGUGGAAAAUUUGGUUCCGUUGUUCUUUGAGGACCUUUUCUGACUGUAUUAUAUGGAGCAGCAAGAAUAGCUAGUAAGGCUGAAAGAUGAAUCAAACUAUUUGAUACUCAAAUUGAGUUUAAUUUGAUAAGAGUUCGUUCGAAUUUUGUUCAUCAAUUAGUCAAGUUAAGAUUGAACGACGUUUUAUGUUUGAUAAUAUUAGAACUUAAUAAAAAGCUUGUUCAACCUCAAUUCACCAAAUAAACAAGUCAAAUUUCAACAAAAUUUCAAACUCGUUAAAAUAAUCAAACAAGUUUAAACAUUCGGAUGUUUGACUUAAUUAGAUUCGUCUGCACCCCUAACAGGUAGUUACCUAAAGAAUCAUGGCAUGAGUACCUUGAAUUAAACACUUCUCAAACAAUCAAAAUUCUGCUAAAUUUUGGUUUUGCAUUUUUCUGGGAAAACAAAAUGUCAAAUCAAGAGAUGCACCAAGCUGUCAAUUACACAAGAAGACUGAUAUACAUAAAUAGUUUAUAAAUUAGCUAGAAAAAUUCUGAAAAUUAGAGUAGUUAUUUAUGCAGUCAAAAUUUUUAACUUUCUUAGGUGAUUCAGUUUGCAGUAAUAGAACACAGAAUAGUUGCACAAUAACUAUUCUUUCCUAGGCUAGACCCAAGCUGAAAAUAGUUUUGAAUAUAAGGGUUAAUUCCAAUGUCCUCCAUCAACCUAUCACAGAUUGCCUAGUUUCAGUUAAAACAAUGCAUCCACCCCGAGGGUUUCAAUUCUAUUAAUCAAAUAUAGGCUUACAACCAAUCCUCAAAUUUCAAAAUAGAAAGAACUGUUUGAUUGCCAACGUGCCUAAGAUGCCAAUAAUGGGUUGAUCACAUACAUGUACAUUUUCAUAGGCGAAAAAUCAAUAGUUGUCGUCCAAAUGCAAGAAGCACUGGAAACAUCACACAUUAAUCUAGGGUAGUGGAAACAUUAACACACUAAGCACACUAAGAAAGAACCACACCUUAAAUCUAUAAUCACACAAUAAUGAGAGAGAAGAAGUUGCUCAGGGGAUUGAAAAAGGCAACGCAGGAAAAGUCAAUUGGCGCGCUUCUGGAGUAGUUCAAGGGUUAUAAACCUGGUAAAAGCACAAAGUAAUUGGUGAAGUUUGUGAUUCCAAAGGUCAGCGGGUUAAAUGGGAUUUUAUUGUACAGGUAAGAACAAGUCAGGAAUGAGAAAAAAAAAAUUUUUUUGGCAGGGUAGCCAAGUCCUUUCAAUGAAAACUAUCCGACCAUUAGAUUAGGAAAGCUGAAAAGACCAAAGGCAACCUGUGAUUGGACUAAGCUGUAGGGGGCAUUUGGGGAUUAACCCAGAAAAUGAGGGUAGUAGCACAUUUCUGCAAACUCAGUACACAGCCACUUGAGCAGAAGACAGCCUUCCUUUAAAUCCACACGGACCUAGCAGUCUCCAAAAGAAUACAAGUCCUCUAGCAAAAAGAAGGCCCGAGUAGUGAUAAUCCUACAUUGCAUUCCAGGGAGAGAGAGAGAGAGAGAGAGAGAUAAACCCUACUUUAUAUCAUUGGCAGCUGCCAUAUGCGUGUUUAACCUUUUCUUUUAUCUGAAAAAAUAAUGCCUCUUAUAUACAAAUAGCCAAGAGGCGUAAUGCCAGAUGACUUCACCUCAAACAAAAUGGUGAACCCUGUUCAGUUUAGACCAAGUAAAACAGCACAUUUCUUGCCUACCAAGAAACCAAAAAGGAAGAGGGGGCCAAUGAUGGACUAUAUUUGCAUUAACAACAUCCAGCUCUCUAAUGGUGUAUCAGUGUGCUUAAUCCCUCCUCCAUCUACGACAUAUGGGCCGUUAACACAGCAACCCGGCUACAACUUCGCUCAGCCAGAAGCACCUGCUGCAGCACCCUUGUCAUAUUCGCCUUGUUCUUCUUUGGCAAAUUCCUCAAUUAGACGACGCUGCCUUUGCGUCAAAUUCCUGUUUUGACAUGGAAAAAAUGGACAGUGUGAAGAUAUUUCAAUAUGUGUUCAGAAAUAUAUUGACCAUGAUAUUCCAUAAUGGACAAUGUAGUUCUUGGAUAUCUUCAGUGCUUGUCAACAAUGCAACUGCAUUCUUAAGUGAAAUAUAAUCUACUAAAUUUAUGGCCUACCAGCAAGGGCUGAGGGAAGGGGAGCGAGAGUUGAAUGGGGCAUGAAAAUGUUUUAGGGUUUAAAUAAACUUUAAGCGAAUUAGACAUACGCUGGGAUGCUGACGUUGAAGUGCACAAAUUGAUCUCCAAAUGAGAACGAGUUGCUUGUCUUAAUCCCUGCAUAAGCAAACACUCAAGCACAAUCAUGACUCCAAAAGGAAAAUAACAUAUUUAUACCCAAUUCAACUUUGUCUUCUUCUUCUCUUGGGGAUUGCAUGAUAUCAUGAUUCACACUUUCCGACUUGAAGGGUAUCUAUAGUUCUUCUUAAAUGCUUUUCUCAACUUAGAACCCUAAAAUUGGGAGUUGAACCACCCGAAAUCACAUUAAUGUUUGUUGGGUUUACUACAAGAAAUACUUCGAAAAAAUGACACAGUAUAAAUCCACAAUUUCGCAACCAAUUCUAUCACCAAAAUGGAUGGCAGUGAUUAGAUAAUACUGGAGAGAUAUUGUUAAGAAUUUGGGCCUUUAAUGUAUCACAAGUUCAAUAGUAAAUUGCAGUAAAAUUUUUCCGAGGAAAAUUCAGCUCUCCUUGCAGCUAGAAGUUUUCAACAGCCCAGUCCAAAGGCUGUACAAUAUGGUGUGAUUUGCAACAGUGCAACUGUUAUGUGAAAAUGCAUGUCAAAGGCAGAAAUCGAUGGUCAUAAAUGGAGAAAACUUGAAUAUCAAGCAUCUAAUCAGAAGAAGAUCACAAACAGAAACAGAAGCAUCCUGAACAUAUCUCUCUACCUUUCCUUUUCAGGACAACCUUUUGGCCGGGUUGGGUACCAGGACGAACCUGAAGAUGGAAAGGAAAGCAAAGACAAGUUGGAAAAAAAAGUCUGCUACCCGCAAAAGUGCGAGAAAAAAAUAGCAAAGGAGCAAAGAAAAAAGAAGAAAAGGGCCCUCAACAAUGAAAUGUUUCAAACCUACCUUGAGAACAACAUCUCCAGUCAAAGUCGGAACUUGGAUUGUCCCUCCCAAGAUAGCCUGCAAGAGAAUAUUCAAAUUAAUAUGUCAAACAUGAUAAAGAAGGUAAUCCAAGUCCUCUGGCAUGAAAUGAACAAGCCAGUAAAGCUGUUUUCUUUCUUCUUUGCUUUAGGAAAGUUUGAACUAACAACAAACAAGCUAUUAUGCCGUUAAAUGAGCAAGCUACUAAAGCUGGUGCUUUCUUUGAUUCUGAAAAUCUGAAGUAAACAAUAAAUAUGCAGUUUUGCCUCACAGAAAAGCAAAAGAAUCAAAGAAAAUGAGCUCAUGGUAUCAACUUCUAUAGAUGAUAAAGGAUUAGAGGUCCUUUAUCAUUACACAAACAGCAAUUAGUUGGCUGCCAUAAAUAAGAGCACUAGUAGUCACUUGAGAAAAUACAUAUUUAAUAGGGAAAGAUGCAUUCCAAAGUUUUGAAAAUAGUAAUAUGAGUGGUUCAGAAAAAGUCAUAUGCAACCCUGGGCAAGGUCGAUCACGUCUAGAAUUGUAAGCAGGAUGCAAAAGAUGGCAAUUGAUCUUCAGGAGACACAGUCUUCCACGUGGAUUCCUUGAAAGUAGUUAAGUGUACCAAAACAUGUGUUAAGGAGUACAAGUUCCAAAAAGACAGCUGAAAGCAAUUGCUUCUGAGAAGAAAAUAAUGCUGUUUAUAAGAGCACCAAGUAGGUAAGAUUUUCUAAAGUAGAGCUAUGCUACCAGCUGGAAGAAUUAAACCAUUCAACAGGCAGAUUGAAAUGGUACAAGGAUUGGAAAUGAACAAAGUCAGAGAAACCACAUAAAGGAGCUCUACAGAGCAGCAUGAAGCUGAUGUCUUAUGUUGCCAAAUAUGGAAGUGGGAAGAACAGUGGAGUUCAUCCAAGAAGUAAGGGCAUUUCAGUUUUCCCAAUGAGCAGGUCAAUAAAGGAAAUUGAGUUCAUUUGUGAUAGGGCUGAUGUUAUUGAAGCCUGGGAGAGCAAUGCCCUUCACUAAGAAAAUUCACACUAACUUUUGUAGCUUGGAAACUGGCUAUGUAUCUGAGAUGUAAGAGCCAGCUUGGGCAGACUGUUGGGCUCCAGUGGUAAAGUAAAAAAUUUCACAUGUAACACAUAUUACAAUGUUGCAUUUGUGUCAUUUACCCAAUAGUAUUUGCCCCGUGGCAAAGGAAUUGCAAAAGUGACGAAAUACCUGAGUGAUACUGAGAACAGCAUCAACGUGAAUAUCAGCCCCUUCUCUCCGGAAAACAGGGUCCUCUCUCACCUGGAAAGUACAAACACAAAAUCGGGGAGCAACUCAACCUUGAAACAAAACAAAAUAAAACUGACCAGGCUAACAGAAGCUAUUUGUUAAACCUUGAUAGUAACAUAAAGAUCUCCUGAUUGAUUGCCUUCUGGAUCUGCUCCACCACUUCCAUAGACCUUCAUAGUUUGGUCAUUGUCUACUCCUGUAGCCAAAAGUGAACCAAUUGAACCAGAGACCACAGAGAUGUUAUCAGAUAAUUUCACAACAAAGUUAAAGAAAACGCUCAACAUGGCCACAUCAAUAUCUUCUACUUUAAGAAGCUGCUCCAUGCCCACCCACCCAAAUAUGUGAGUAUUUAUAGUCCACAUCAUGUGUGUGCGCGGAGUGGAUGUGUUCCACUUUAAUCAUGAAACCAGAAGCACAAUAGUAAACAUCAGCAUCUUCAUAGCAAAAUACGUAUGCCCAACUGAAAUGUCAUUAAGCAGCAGCAAACAUAUCCCAACAAGGGUAAUUCAGGCUGCUUUUAAAAGAGGGGAAAUUUCUAGGAGAAACUGCAUCGCAGGAAACUUUAACUGAGAUGAAGGCAAAAGGAAUUAUGUUUCGCAUAUAUAAUUUUGUUUGACAAUCAAAUGACUUACCCACAAGGAAACGUGUGGGAAGUUAAAGUGAAAAACAUGCACACACACACACGACAUAUGCUCAAAAUAUGAUAAAGUUACAUAUUCCAAUUCCUUCUAGGUUCUGUUACAAAACAGCAAUUGGUAACAGAACAUCAGGAAAUUUUUUCGUAUUCUCUUUCAUAAUACUAGAAGUUGUUCAAAUAAGAACACAGCACUUUCCACUAUCACAUGUACUCAAGGCAGACCAAGUAAUUUGCUUUACUUUUAUACUAUCUGUGCUUCUUGUUUAGAAAAGUAUUCUGUCAAUUUUGUACAAUCAAAGUGGAGCAGGUAACUUAUCUCAUCGCAUACUGGAUAUGUAACCAUCUAUUCCAAAGAUAACUCAUCCUCGUUAAUAUGAACUAUAGUUCUUUGUUGGCUGCAUAUUUACCCUCUGAUUACAGGGACUUGUGAUAUGCUGGAUAUAUGACUAUCUGUUCAAGACAUAACUCAUCAUUGUUAAUAUAAACUUAAGUUCUUUCCUGUUCUUUUCAUUUUACCCCAAUAAUGUAAAAGUUACAAGUACAUAAUAUCUACCAUUCUGUUGAUAACAACAUUUCCUCACUUUGUAUCAGGAUUCAGUUUUCUAGGCAAGUGGAUAUAAAAACACUAGUCAACCAAACUGAGUAAAUAAAUAAUCAACACCUUCCUGUCACGGUCAACCUUGCACAGUAGUUAAUGCUGACUUCCACAAACUUGGUUAAGGCAGUAUAAAGUAAGCAAUCAUCUCAACUCUGGGGGGAGAUUUACAAUUUAUUUUAAGGAAACAAAGCAAUGUGAUAGAUAAUUUCAAGUACCUGGCUUGAUAUCUAGUUUAACAGUUUUUGUUCCUUUCACAACACGUUCCCCCUUGCAAGACUUACAGACAUCCUACACCAAUCAAUAAGAACAGAGGUUCAGAAUCUGAAGAUAAGAAUGGACAGUCCAUAGAUGAUGGAACUUAAAAACACAAAAUUGCAUAGAAGGUAUCACACACUCAUGAAACUAAGCCAAGAAACUUCCCAGUUCCACAGUCAGAGAAGUUUUAUUCAAUUGAAUUAGUUAACUCCCACAAGAAAUUCAGUAUCAAUUUUAAAUUCCAUAAUUUAUAACAUUUCACACGAUAUGUCAGUAACUGCAGUAAAUAGAUAUCAAAGUAAGCAGCAUACACGAAAGAAGAUUAUCUAAUGACAUGCAUAAAAUCCAUUCAAUUUUCAUUCUUAAUUAUCAUUCUUAAUUACUAAUACCAGACGGAAGGUUAGCAUGCCUGGUCAACCACCCAACCAAAUAAAAAUCAAGUAGUCAAGAGAAAGGAGAACAAAAGCACCAACAACUUUUUAAGACCUUUCCAGCCGCAUUAUGUACCAGGAGAAUUUCCACAGAGUCAGGAAAGAACCAGAAACAAAGAUCAACCAUCUAACAAGAUUGUUCUUUAAUUAAGCAUCAAAUUAAUUGCAUCAAACUUUGUUAUAGAUGGAUAAUCUGCAGCAAGCCAACUACAAGAAGAUAAAAACAUUUCCAUUAAAAGAAAAGCAUCGUUUGACCCAAGUAGUGGAAUUGGCAUACCGAUACAAUCUUUCCAGACCCACCACAUUUCCGACAAUUCAUCUGAAAAAAUACAUUUCCUCCAUGAAAUUUUGCCUGCGCAUGAUGAGUAAGAUGAGUAAGAGAAACAUAGACCAAUUACUUUAGGUUAGACUAUCAGAUUCAAUAAGGCGCCAAUGAGCAACAAGUCCGAGGAACAUACCGUUCCAGAGCCUCUACAAACUGGACAAGUUUCAGGGCGCGUGCCUGGAGGAACACCUGCUCCACCUGACAAAAUCAAGAAGCAAUUCAAUCAGGCCAGAAAAAACCUAAUGCAAAAUAAGUUAAACCGUUCACAUGACUUGAACUACUACCUCAUAUAGCAUAGUCUCCAGAGGUAAAUUACUACAAAUAAGGAACACAAACUUAAAAAGUUCAAUACAACCCCAUCUACUAAGAACAAUAGCAACGACAGGUGAAGUGCCUUCAGAGAGGUUAAGCAAAAGAGAAGCAAAGUGCAAGUCUAAUCCUUUUCAUUCUCCAAAACCACACUAAAACUGCAGAAGCACAAAACAAGCCUGUUUUAUUGAAUUUUUUCUCUCAAAUUUCCAAUUCCUAUUCACCAUUGCAAAUUUUCUUUGUGGUUAAUCUACUUCAACAGUUCAUUAACAGGUUGCAUGAAGAGCAUUUGGGGCUGAGAAACACAGGAUAACAGCAUUGCCUACAUGACAAAGUCCCUUAGCAGGGCUGUGAGCUCAUCCAUAAAAUGGGUGAGGACCUAUAUUUUUGAAAAACCAAUGGCCUAGCACUGGGGACUGCACAAUACCCAGAUAACUGUUUAUAUCCAGGGGAAGCAAAGGCCGCAUUAUCCUUUUGCUGUCAAUAAUUUCUUUCAGCAUUCAAUUUCUGUUUAAGAUCACCAAGUGUUCGUGUGUAUGUGUAUAAGAAAUCUUCCUCUCCCCCUAACCCAAAAAAAAAAUAUAUCUACUGUAUGUCCUUAUCCCCUAAUUUUCUUCUGCAACCUCCACUUCCUGGUGUAUGUUUCAGAGUGCCCUCCUAUUUUCUCUCACCAAACCUUCCCCUUCUAUUUAUCUUUCACCCUUUUCUCCUACACCCACCCCUCUAUUUUUUCUCAUCCCUUCCUCUUCUACCAACUCCUUCGUCUCCCUCCUCCCAAAUGUCUUCCACUUACAAACUACGCUGACGUAUAUUUGGAUGACACAAAAAGGGUAACAUGCUUGCAUAUACAGAUAACAAAUACAGAGAUGAAAAGAUUCAGUCGCUGAUGAUGAUGAUUUCACGCUUAACGUGACUUUCAAAUGCCUUGAAAGCUUGAAGCUUAAAAUUGACCCCAUGUUUGCUACACUUGUUUUACUUUUAUAUUAACUAUGCUUAUUUAAUUUGUCGUGGCAUACUAAUCUUUCGUGCAUUUAUUUGCAACAUCUUAUGCUAGAAUUCUAAAAUCACUAUGCAUUCAGUGAUGUUUUAGAUUUUUGGUCAUGUUAUUGUUAGCCAUCAAAUAUAUACAAAAAGUGCAUGAAAGCAUACUUAAGAUUCUGCAGUUCGUGCUAAUGCCCUAGCAACCUAAUGUGGUUUGCCCUUUAACUACUGUGUUACAGAAAGAAAAUUGUUUUUACCACAAGUAUUGCAAGGUAUUUCAGUCUGGAAACUUAUAGUUUUGGAGCAUCCUUGAACUGCUUCCAUGAAGGACAGUUCAAUAGAGACCUACAAUAGUCAACAAAGCAGUGAGACAUAAUAAAUUAACUAUUAUCCCUGAAAAAUUACUAUUACAGAUUUACAUAUCAAACCUUGACAUCUUCGCCGCCCAUAUUUUUCACAUUUCUCAUAAACUGGUCUCCAAUUUCAGUGCAGCCACACCAGCAGACCAUGCAAAAAAGGAAUAAAAUUUAGAUCUCAGACAUUGCCUUGGAGUUGUAAAGAAAAAUGAGAGAUUGGUUAAACAUGACUAAAAAAAUUACAAGAAAAAUGAUAAAUUAGUUAAACAUGCCCAUCACAAAUUAGGUUCUAGAGCAUUUCCCUCUCUUCCUACUUUCUGUAGUUCAUCUAUUUAUUUGAUUAGAGGUGCGGACAGCAACACCUACACUUGCUACAUAUAGAUGAGGACAGCAGGAUGUGGUACUUUUCAUCAAAACAUUGCCCUUUCCAUUUAUAUUUAUCUCUGUUAUAAGAAAAGAAAUUAAAAAGCGAACUCCCAGAAAAACCAAACAUAACAAAGAAUAUAAUGCGAGAAAAAGUUCAAUAACUGAAACUACUCCAUACAAUUCAAAAAGCAACUCCUGCCACUAUAUCUCUUUACUCCCAGAUUCAUGAUGAGUUUACUGCUUUCAAAUAACUCAACAGGUUUUUCCUCACUUCAGAAUUCAUAUGGCAAAAAAUUAAGCAUUCGAAAUCAGUGAUCUGGAAACCUAUUUACUCAAAGUGGGUUCUUUACCAUGGAUUUGCUCAGACAGACUGGCUGUAAUAUGUCCUAGUAGUCUAUGAUUCUAUGGGGCAUGAGGUAGGAUACAUCCGACAGGACAUUAAUCUCAUCAAUUACCUAACAUAUAUCCAAUAUAAGUAUUCUAUCUGACAGGACAUUAAUCUCAUCAAUUCCCUAAAAUGUAUCCAAUAUAAGUAUUCUAUCUUGCUAGCAGAGAAGGAAAGGCCAAAAAGUGAUAAGUCAUACCAAAGCAAAUUAAAUGGAAAAAAAUUGAACUAAGUAAACUUAUUAUGAAAUACAUACAUCAAAACCAUGAAAGAAUUCCUGAAAAGGGUUAAAGCCGCCUUCUUGAAAUGGGUCGUACCCAGCACCACCAUUCUGUCUAUUAAUUUUAAAAGCAUCAUGGCCAACCUAGAACAAUUGUCACGACACAAAUAAGCAUUAUUAUCCAGGUGGAGACAAAGAGAUGAGCAAACAAUCAUAAACAAAUACGAACCAGCAAAAAUGAAAAACAUGCCAACUGUGUACCUAAAACACUAAAUCUUUGCAUAAGUAUUGAACAAAAUGGAACGAGGUGCAAGACCCAGGAUCAAGUAAUUAUUAGGCGAUACAAUCAUUAAUAGAAAUACUUCUUAUUCCCACAAAAAUAUGUGGAAAGACUCAAAAAUUAAUUAGUACCCAAAAAGCUAAAAAUCAAGAUAAAUAGCCCAUCAAGUAAGAAGCAAGCAGAGAAACAAUAUACUGCUCUUAAAAAUACUUUAAAUUUACUAAGUAAAAUAUAAAAAAUAAGCUGAUCAAGAUAAAAAGAAAUGCAGUAACCUUUUUUUUUUUGCAUGGGAAUGGUGUAGCGUGCCCCUUCUUAAGCCAGUACACAUAUAUACACAGAUAAAUAGAUCUACACUAGUACAGACAACUUAUAGAUAAGUAGGUCUACACAUAUACAGGCAAUUUAUAGAUAAAUAGGUCAAUACUUAUACAGAAAACUCAUCCAUUUUGGUUUCAGGAACAGUUCAAGUAGCUCUUUCAAUGAAAAAACAAAGGAGUAAAAACAACCACAUCAUUGUACUUUUAAGUCUAAAAUUCUGAAUUCAACGAUUCAAAAUAAUGCAUGUAACAACUUCAACGUAAAUACCGAAAUUAUUUUGUUUUUACUUCCCAUUUUAACCCUUGCAUUUGAAGUGGAAGGGAUGCACUAUCUGUAAUUGCAUUCCUGUAGUAAAGAGGUAAGGCAUAGAUAUCCUCCUCUCUAUUUCUUUUUUUAUUUGCUUUCCCCUAACCCUCCUAUCUUCUCCUUUCCCUUCUUCAAUUAAUUAACAUAUAGGGGUCGAUGCCAAACCCCGCCAUCUCAAGGUGGCAAUUCCCAUAAAAAGAAAACAAAAUUUAAACUAGAAACCUCAUCAUACUCCGCGCGUUUCUUCUCAUCUUUCAGAACCUACAGAAAAAUAUCAGAAAGUUAAUCAAUUAGAAAGUAUAGGAAAGCAACAAGAAGUUUCAACUCAGGGUGCAGAAAUCUAGUUCCUAACUGCCAAAUACCUCAUAUGCCUCCUGAACUUCUUGGAAUUUUGCCGCGGCUCCAGGAUCAUUUUUAUUGGUAUCAGGGUGCAAGUUUUUUGCAAGCUGCAGAUAGUCAAAAUGACUACAUAUCAUGAAACAGGGGACCGUGUCGGAAGAAAGGAAACUUAACACAGGGAAAAAUACAAGUCUUCACGAUGUACAUAAGAAAGGGACCUACCCCAUAAUAAGCUUUCUUGAUCUCUGAUGGGGUGGCAUUCCUACUUACUCCAAGGACAUCAUAGUAAUCCCCUGAUGUAGUAGCUAAUCAAGGAAAAGGCAAGUCAGUGGACCUAUCCAAGAAAACAGACCCCAGUAUAGUCUUCUAUAAGGCGCAAACGAUAAAUUCUAAGAGACCGGAAAUCAAAGACAGGAAAAGAAGUCAUAACACUUUCAAUUCCUCACAUUUCCUCUUUCACUCAAUGAGCUUCUUCAAGACUUAAUCGCAUCCAACAAGUGUAGAAUUUCCCACUUACCCCUUCUUGCUCUAUGCCAACAGAUAAAUUUUAACCAAGAAAAUAAUAUAAGGCUGAAGUAACCUAGUCAUCUAGACUUAAUACUAUUUCUCAAUAUUAAUCAUGAACUCAAUGUUUUGAAAUUGGUAGAUGAAAGCAGCAUCCAGUUAUGUUUAUAUGUGACAGAAUUAGUUGAAGGAUUUUCAUAAAGUAAAUAACUUAUCAAACUGAAUGAUUACCAUACUCUUUACAUUUUAUUCUAAUUAUGCAAUUCAACAAGGAGCAUCACUAUUAGUUAGGUAUAUUUAUCCCAAAUUACUGCAAUUUCUGUACAAAAUUUAAUUCUGUGAGCAUUAUUUAGUCCUGCAAGUAAUCUGCUAUCAGUUAUAAGUCAAAAGUUUUAGGCAAUUUGUCAGUUUUGAGACCAAAAUAGUAUAUUGAAUCCAAAUAUCAUGCUUCAAAUGUCAAUCUAUUUAAAAAAGAAGAAGAAGAAGAAUUAGGAUAGAAAAAUGAUGAUCGUAUAUCCAACUCAACGCCACAAUGUCAGAUAAACUUUUCCUUUUCUGAUUUUGAAAAAGCAAAACAGUAAACCUCUCAGUCAAAUACCCAAGGACACAAAACUUCUGUAGUCCUACAUAACUAAGUCCCUGCUACAGGCACAAUCUAAAUUUGUGCAUUACACGAAAGAUAAUCCAUUUUAUGCUGAAUAUACUUUAGCACGCAAUACUCACAACUAGUGAAGUCCCAAGAAUCAACAAGAAAUUAAAGAAAAACAGCAGGCAUCAACCUGGUAACCAACUAAUUAUUCAACUGAAAACACAUUAAACAUAUUGCAUUACUACAAGCAUAUUCUGCAGCACAAUAAUAAUACAUACUCCCCAUAAAAAACACAGAGUAAAACACUUGUACAAUUUUUAUAUAUAAAAGAACACAGACAGAAAGAGAAGUAACCUGUGGCAUGAAUUGAUCGCGCCGCACCCAAAUUAGCUACUAAUGAUCCUAGUCUCAGCCGUUCUCUUCCAUCAUUUACUGCAAUUUUUAACAAAAUAAUAAGAAGAAGAUUUAAAACAAAAAAGGUUAAUUCAAUCCGAUCUCCCAAAUUGCAGGAAGCAUUUUUGCCUUUCUCCAAAUUAAAAAAAACCUCUAAAAAUUCAAAUUUUAGCAAAAUAGACAUAUCUCUAAUUUAAAACAUACCAUUUCUCGAGUUGGAAAAUCUAAAGACCCUAUUUUGAUUGCAAAAUGCAGUGCUGAAACUCCUAUACCCGCCUCUCAGCAACGCUUCAUUUAGCUGUCAUAAAUUCCACGAAAUAAAAAAAAUACAUUGAUAAAUAUGUAACUACUCAUCAAAUGAGCAAGAGAGGGGGGAAUGGGUGGUGGGGCAUACCGAAGAAGAAGAACCGUGGAGGAGAUGAGAAGCGAGAGAGCGGAGAGCGAGGCGGUGGACGAGUCUGAGGCCGUUUGAGCGGACCAUUUGUGGGGGCCGGUUGGAGAAUUGGGGAAGGAGAGAAAAACCCUAGCUGAGAGGGCAGCCCCGCCAGCCAGCCAGUCGCUUAAACCCUAGAAGAGAGAGAAAGUGGGCAACCCAAUAAAACUGGAAGAAGAAGAAAUGCAAAUCCACUGAAAAAAAAAGAGUUGCUUGCGUCGUAAUUAAUCGAAGCUUCUAGCCGAGUCUUAAAAAAAAGUAAUGAAGCAGAGGUGGUACUUCUCCGACUUGUUCACUAGGGUUUUUUUUUUUAUAAAAUUUUUUUGUGUCUUAAAAAUUAGGGUAAAAUACAAGGAACUCCCUUAUGGUUUCGCGAAAAGACACCUUACCCCCUUAUUGUUUAAAAACCUCCACAUAAACACUCUAAAUUUCAUAACUAAAGUGGAAAUUACCUUCUGAACCGGCUGAGUUACCGGCUGACUUUGUCAAAAUCCUAUCUCUUUUAUCUGUGAACUCCUUUGGCAUCGAUGCAAUGUUCAACUCUCUCAGCGUUUUAACGAAUCUCAAUCCAUUCGGAACCAUCUCCAGCUUUGGGCAAUAUACAAUUGUCAAUACCGAAAGGUUGGGCAUGGCUCCUUCAUCAAUAUUCCACUUCUCUAAGUUGUGUAGACAUUCAAAACGAAGAAAUCUAAGUUGGCCAAAACUUGUUGCCUUGUACCUCAUCUCUUUUCCGAGAAUAUUUAGAUUUCGCAAGUGAAGUGACCGGAGAUUAGGAAGCCUUUCCGGAGUUUCCAUGGAAUAUUCCUCUAUCCCCAUUGUGGUUAGUUUCAAUUUAAGAAGGCUUGCAUACAUGUAUUGGGCUUCGUACUUGGGGAAAUUGGCCUGUGGACCGUGUACCUCCAAGACUUGAAGAUUGCGACUAGAGAAACAUUGAUCAAUAGCAUCUGACAAUUUUUUCUUGGUUAAGGUGGCUUCAGGUUGUUUCGGGCCUUAGUUCAGAACUCGUAAAUGUCAAGAAAGCUGCUGCUAUGGAUUCUGAAGUGCUUAAUAGUGAUGUCUUGAAGCUGUCGAAAGGAAUUGGAAAUAUUGCUGAGGUUGUACGAUCAAUUGAAGCAGCAGGGUCAGCGGGGGGCAGCAGCCAGAAAUUUUCUGAAUCAAUGAGUGGUUUCAUGAAGAUGGUUGAGGAGGAGCUUAUAAGAAUUCAAGCUCAAGAAAGUGUUGCACUGAUGCUGGUGAAGGAUAUCACAGAAUACUUUCACGGAAACUCAGCGAAGGAAGAGGCUUAUCCUUUCAGAAUAUUCAUGGUUGUGAGAGACUUUCUAUCAAUUCUUGAUCGGGUAUGCAAGGAAGUCGGAAUGAUAAAUGAGCGAACAAUAGUUAGUUCCACUCACAAAUUUCCAAUUCCAGUGAAUGUGAAUCCUAAUCUGCAGCCAAUUUCUAGUGCUUUUCCCGGAAGGCAGCGGUAUAGUUCUUCAGAUGAUGAGUGCUCUUCACCUUAGUUCUUCGAGGAAGAUGACGGCUUCUACUUGCUAUCAGCGUCAAAAUGCUAAGGUUUCUGGUCGAUGAAAUUCUUGUUGCUGCCUUAUCAGAGGCAUUGUUGGCUACUAUGCUAAUUAACAAGAACCAUAAGACAGCAGCAAACACAAUAGCUCCAGCUGUAGCCCGCAAAGCCUUCGUGAAGGGUAGCUUGGGAAUGAAAUAUAGCAAUUGAAGGGUAGCUUGGGAAUAAAACUCAAUGUCUUUUCAAAGAAAUCUCGCAUAUCCAUCAUCACUAGGUCGCACGCCCGGUUACAGGUUAAUUUCCACUUUAGUUAUGAAGUUUAGGGUGUUUAUGUGGAGGUUUCUAAAUGAUAGGGGGUAAGGUGUCUUUUCGCGAAAUCACAAGGGGGUUCCUUGUAUUUUACCCUAAAAAUUAAUGGUCUUGAAGUAAAGUUAGUGCCCCUUUUUUUUUUAUUGAAGUUUUUUUUUUUAAAAAAAAAAGGGAGUCAUGGCUUGGUUUGCUUUGGGCCUCUAAGCCAUUUGUGAUCGUCAUGUUCUGGACCUUCUGGUAGUUUCUGCUGAAACUUUUUUUUUUUGCCCUUUUAAGGGCAAUGCAAUGGGUAGCUCAAGGCAUACAAAUAUUUUAACUUUUUUCUUUUGGAUUAAUAUUAAAUGCAGUUUUCUUUUUUGAGUACAGUGGAGUAGAGGUGCAACAAGCUUAAUUGAGUAACUCGCAGGUUUACUCAGUCAAAUUCGGCUUUGAAUUCAUAUUGACUGAGUUCAAGUAGAUCGAACUAUUUGACGAGUCAAACUUGAGUUUAAUAUGUGAAAGUCUAAAGUUCGUCGAGCUCAAUCGACCUUCACAAAUACGCGCGCGCGCGCACACACACACAUAUACAUAUAUAUUUUAAAAUUUUUAUUUAUUAGUAUGAAAUGUCUAUUUUAUCCCUUGUUUAAAAUUAUAUAAAAUAUAAACUUAUAUUUCUAAAGUUCAAUUAGGCUCGAUUAAGAUCGAUUGAAUUCGAAAUAAGCUCAAUUUGGGCUUGAUAAGCACGAGUUCGAGUUCGAACUCGAGUAAUGCAAAAUAAAAUCGAGCUCAAGUUCGAACUUGACUUUCAAGAGCUCGACGAGUUCGAUAUCGAGUCCAAGUUUGUUUAACUCAAGUCGAGCUUGAGUAGUGCAUUAUUUGAUAGAAACAUUAUUGAUAGCACAUAUUCUAGCAUUUUUGGAUAUAUGUCAUAUGUAAAAAAAAUUAAAUUUAAAUUUAAAUUGAAAUUAGGUGACAUGCAUCUAGGGAUGUUAAUACAUAUACUAUCAAUAUAUAUAUAUACAAGAUUGACUCUUUGUUUUUUCCCAAAACCUAAUAGGGUAACUCAAGUGUGGACGAUAAUAGGAUUGAGGAUGGUAAGGUAAUAAAAUCUAAACGUACGACCUUGAGGAGGGUUGGUCAUAAUCAUCGGAUAUUAUGGAUAUUGUUGAGGAUCAAAUUUUGUCUACCGUUGGACAAUGAGUGAAAUUAGGGCAUGUGCACAAUGAUUAGGAGUGUAAAUUUUUGUAAGCUUUAAAGUGUAUGCUUUACUAGAUUUUAAAAAAAUCAAAUAAAAUGUUUAAGGUUAUUUUUUUUAUUGUAACUAACAUGAUUAAUGAUCUUUUAGCUAGGAGGGAGUGAUGAGUUGGGUGGUAUGGGGGGGAGAGAAUGUAAAUGACAGGUCCUGGGUAAGGCUGCAAAUGAGCUGAAUCAAGUUUAAUGUAAAACUCAAGUUGGAACUCGACUUCAAAUUCGAAUAGAGUCGAAUUCGAGCUCGAACUUAAAAAAAAUAAUAAUUAUUUUAUUUUUUAAAAAAUGAAUAAAAUAGUACUUUUUCUUAAUAAAUAAUAAAACAUUAAGAACAUAUAUAUAGAAUUUCAUUAUUAAUAUAUAUAUAUAUAUAUACAAUCAAGUCGGAUCGGGAGCUAACAAGUUAAGUAUUUUUGAGUUCCAAUUCGAGCUUGGUCAACUUUGACUUGAACUACUCACAAUCGGCUCAUAAGCAACUCGACUCGUAUGCAGUCCUAGUCCUGCGUUCGAAACCUUCCACUUAUACUAAAGAAAAAAAAAAUCCUUUAAUAGCAUAAUAUUGCCAAGGAAAAUCCAAUUCAUACAAAAACAAGUUGACAUCUAAUAUUUUGCUAGUAGUUUUUGCUGCACUUAUAGUCGGUGGAUCUUUUCUUGCAUCUAUUGUAAUCUGAGUUACGAAUUAUGAAUUUUGAGGGGUUUUUUUGGCUAUUUUUUUGUGGGGGGAAUUGGGCGAAUAGAAUGAAAAAUAUACACUACUGUUAUAUCACAACCCAAAACCUCUACAUUCAUAAUUGUGGCAUUAUAUGUGAAUUAGGCUUCUUGAUCAUCUAUAUACAUAUCUUGUUUAAUUCAUCUGGGUGCAUUCAUCCAAAUUAAAAUGUCUAACAAAACAAGACUUUGUUUGAUACGACAGAAUACAGGAUUGUUUUGGUAGGAUAAUUCAUUUGGGGCAAUUUGUCCUUUGAACAUUUGGGACAUGAAAUGAGAAAUUGCAAAAUAUAUAUAUAUAUAUAAAUUUAUGGGUUAAUUUCAGAAACCUCCCCUGAGGUUUCCCCUAAUCACACCUAGCACCCCCCAACUUUCAGAAAUCACACUUACCACCCUUGGCAGAAUGAAGUGACAUGCUAUACCAAUCAGUAGAGGAGAAAUUACGAUGCUACCCCUUAUUAUUAAGUAAUUCUUGUGCAGGAAAAUGCUACAAAAAUUUAAAAAAUUGAGGCUAUAUUAAUUGAAAAUUGAAAGAACAACAUUGCUCUCAUUUUUUGCGCAAAAUUUGAGCGCCAUUUUUGUUAUCUUGUAAAGUCAAUAUAAUGGAGUAAUAGGUGUACAGUAACUACUUCGCACUAUCAUUAAUUCCAGGAUACUUCCCUGACUUGAAACAACCACUAGAACAUUUCCUUGUACAUGAUCCUAGAUCACAGAAGACAUGAUAAACAAGUUAAUAAUGCGUGCAACAUAUAUACUUUGGUACAUGAUCAGAUGAUGAGAUUUAACUUAGUUGCCCAAAGCACAGCUCCUGCCAAUCCCGUGUUAGCUAUGCCUCUACCAGGCUUUCCUCUCCUUAGAGCACCCUGCAAUGUAACAACUUCAAAAUUGAGCAUGUAAUUAUCUAGCUCCCACAAGUUAGCUAAUAUUUCGUGAUUAUCAGGACAAAUUUGGUCCAUUUUAUAUGCAUACAUAGUCAAGUAACUAACACCUAACAUGAUAUACAUUUUUAUAAACUGAUUGUACCUCAUAGAUCACCCUAUGUAAAGUACUCAUAGAUCACCCUGUGUAAAGUACUCACAGACAAGCAAGGACUACUCAUACAAGUAAAAUUACACAUCUACUAUAGGGAGAUGCACAAAUUGAUCAAAGGGCUAAAUAACCAUUUCAAAUUUAUGCGUACCAUUAUACUACCUUUAAUAGAUAUACACAAUCAAGCAACGAACAUCUAACAUAAUGUACAUUUUUGUAAACUGAUUGUACCUCAUAUAUCACCCCGUGUAAACUAAUUGUUUCAAGCCAGUGGCUGUUUCACACUGUAUCAGGGCAUUUCCAAGUAGUUUUAACGAUGCUAAAGGCUCCCUGCAAUCCUUACUCUUGGUUUUUGAAGUGGUACAAGUACUCUUUAUUAUCAAAAUGUAUGAUAGAAGACUUAUGUACUUUUGUUGUAUUUCAUCUGGUGGAAUAUGCAUUGCCAUAUACUAAUCUUAUAAUAUAUAGCAACGCAUUGAUGCACUAGUUGCUUGGAAAGACACGUUGAUGCAUUAGUUGUACGAACAGAUAUGAAUAGUAGCACAUUUUUUGGAAUCUUAGUUUGGCUUAGACUUAGCUAAACAUGUGACCGUGGGAAGUACACAUCUAAUUGGAUUGUCACAAGUACCAUACAAAAGCUUUCUACUUUGAAUUGCCUGUGACUAUGAAGGCUAAAACAGUUGGUAAUCAAUUACAGCAUUGCAUGUUGUACUUGGACUUCAUCAAAUUGAUUUUCUAAUCUGAAUAAAAAUGUAGAUAGCAAUCAGUGUUAGAUUGAUGCACCAGUUGCUGCAGUUUGCCCAAAGAAAAUCAAUGAUGAAUGAUAUUGUUAUCUUGUUUCCAAUCUGCUUAAUUCAGCUUAAGCACCAGGUUGGAAUGGUUUUGCCCAACGGUCCUCUAUAGUAUCAAUGUUAAGAAGCUUCUUGUGCUUAUUACACUUACACCCCUUUAGCUUCUAAAAUAAUAUCACAACAUAGUUUUGUUUUUAUUUUCAUCUUGUAAUUUCAAAACUCAUCCUCCAAUAGGGCAAAAGUGGAAUAGAAAAUAGUCUCUCUCCUAUAAACAAUUUUUAAAUACAAUUCUUACACAAAAGGGCUGACAAUGUGAUGAAAGUUGUCAUUCUAAGGGUGGUAAGGGUGAUUUCUGAAAAUUGGGGGGGGUGCUAGGUGUGAUUAGGGGAAACCACAGGGGAGGUUUCUGAAAUUAACCCUAAAUUUAUUCACCCUAAAUUUAUUCAUCUGUACAGUUACUUUUUUUUAUUAUCUCAUAUACAUUAAAUAAUAAAAAAUGUCAAUACAAUUCAUCUAAAGAAUUUUCCCAAUCAAUCUUCUAUCAGCGGUACUCACAUGUUGACAUCUCAACUUUUAGAAGAAUUUAGAACCCUCCAAACCAUCUCCUCCAACAGACACACCUCCACCAAUUUUCGAAACCUCAGUGCCAGUUUCGAUUGUUAUUUUUUGGGAAAAUGAUCGAUUUCAUCCUUCACAUUUCACAAAAAUAUUCUUUUCGUCCCUCACUUUUAAAAUGAAACAAUUUCGUCCUUGACAUUUAAAAACUGAAAUCAUUACAUCCCUGAAUCCAAAUUUCAAUCUGAAUCAAACCACCAAUCAACCUAAUUACAAAUUUUGGGUGUGUAAUUGGUAGAUCACUUGGUUAACUCAACUUGAUAUUCAUGUGAAAUUUAAUGAACCUUAAAAGAAAAAAAUAAAAAAUUAUAACAUAAAAAAGAAAGAUUAAUCUUUUCUACAUUAUCAUUGUAUACACUGACGGUUUUAUGUACCGUCAUAUAAUUUUAAUUUUAAUUUAAACACCAAAUUUUAUAUUUAUGAUACACAUCUAGAUUCGCAAGCCGAUAUACUAACGGUGCAUGAAAAAAUUUACCAAAAAAAAAACUCUACUAUUCCGAAACAAAGAAUGGCCUUUUUAUGUUAUAAUUUUUAUUUUUUUGGUUUAAUAAAUGUCAUGUGAAUAUGAUGAAAUUGACUUAAUGAUCUAUCAAUUCUAUUUUCGAAAUUUAUUACUGGGUUAUUGGAUGGUUUGAUUCAGAUUGAAAAUUAGGUUUAGGGAUGUAAUAGUUUUAAUUUUUAAAUGUCAGGGACGAAUUUGCUUCAUUUUAAAAGUGAGGGACGAAAAGAAUAUUUUUGUGAAAUGUGAGGAAUGAAACAGGUCAUUUUCCCUUAUUUUUUGAAGUUUUUGUAAAACAAUAUAUUAUAAUAAUUUGAUGUAUUUGAGGUAAAAAGGUGAUUGAAAAACAUAUAUCCUCAACAUCAUAAGUGGAAAUGGAGGACGACCACAAACCUCUCUACAUUAGUUAUUUCCUAGAUUGUUACCCGUGUCCUUGCUCAAUCCUUACAAAUCAUAAUUAAGUUAGAUCCUGUUUGAUAAUCCAAUUCAUCACUUAAACUUAAUAGAUUUAGAUCUUAAUAUGUUCAGAAACGUUUGAUAAUAAAAGAUUGAACAUCUGAAUUAAUUAAGUGGCACUGCAAAACUUGCUUCCGAAAUUAAACGAUAAGUUAUUCACUUAUUACUAAACGUGAUAUACGCUCAAAUAUAUUUGAUUUAAUAUUUAACAAUUUAAUAACUUAAUAGAUUCAAACUUCAGAUUUCUCGUCCAUCUUUCAAACAAACAAUAGAAAAUGAUUUCUCUUACGUGAGCAUUCAGGUGGGAAGUGAUGCACCGGUGAUGAAAAAACCGGUAAUAUAUAGCAUUACUUCUUUAAUUAUACCAAUUCAAUACUUGUCCUCCAUAGAUGAACCUCUCAAUUCGUAGAUUUAGGCUAAACAGGGGGAAAAAUACAUAACAUAGAAAAGGAGAAUCAGACUAUUAUUGAAAAGGUGCAGUUCUAAAGCGGAUUCAAAUAUAAUUCUGACAACAUAGAAAAGGUGCAGUUAGUAAUGUAAUAGUGUAUAGAAUACCAUUCUGACAACUAAACGAGUUUUGCUCAUAUAUACUAGUCCCACAGCUUCCUUCUUUCUUUUUUUUUUUGCUUUUUUAAGCCAACCAAGAUCACUUUCAUACCAAAAAAAAAAAGAAAAAGAAAAAGGGUAUUUGAGGCGUCCCACUUAUACUUUUGGAAAAAAAAAAAAAACUAUUUGGUUGCUAUCUACUUUCUUUAACCAUAGAAGCUUUUUGACAAAAAAGCAGAGAGCAUUGAGAAUUUGGAGGAAUUCGAUAGUUCCCAGACCUUAAUGCAUAGAGACAUGCCAGAGCUUCAGUUUUGCCUUAUUAGAUAAACAGAUAUACGAACUUCACACUGAAUUGGCCUUUUUCCCAUAGUAAACCGGGAAAGUUUGUAAGAGUGGCAAAGGGCUUUAUAGUGCUUUUCCUUUGGAAUUUCUCCUCUUUGUAGUAAAGUUGUGAUCCAAACCCUAUGCCAUUUAUUUAUCACAGGUCUACAAUAGAUGGUAGGAAUGUACGUUUAGAUGAUAUGACCAAGACAAAAGUUAUCAUCAACUCGUUUUUUUAAUAUUUUAAUUUCUUCCUUUUUGCCCUCUUGAAAGUUGAAGCACAACCACAAAAGGCAAAAACCAAGAAAUGAAAAGAAAUAAGAAAAAAAAAUGUAAACAGACAGCAAGAUAAUUGCUCUUGAAACUUCUAAAGAUGAAUUAGAUAGUCUCUACUUCUACAUUUGCUCAUAAACACCUUCUCUUGUAAUUUUGCCUAAAACAAUUUGAACCUCACUAGAUCAAGAACGCUUUGACUCAGAUCUCUUCAGAAAUUAGUAUCUUUCCUGAGCUUGAUUAUUCAAAAAAUGGGGUUAUUUUCCAGAGGCCUUAUAGCUCAUGAGCUUCGGAGAGAACAGAGUAUGCAUAUGGCUCGUGUUAACUCCAAAAGUGGUCGAGUAUCACCUCCUUCAAAUCCAAACAGAAUGCGGUUUGAC